UUGGUGAGGUAACGGCCCACCAAGGCAACGAUCGGUAGCCGGACUGAGAGGUUGAACGGCCACAUUGGGACUGAGACACGGCCCAGACUCCUACGGGAGGCAGCAGUGGGGAAUAUUGCACAAUGGGGGAAACCCUGAUGCAGCGACGCCGCGUGGAGGAAGAAGGUCUUCGGAUUGUAAACUCCUGUUGUUGGGGAAGAUAAUGACGGUACCCAACGAGGAAGUGACGGCUAACUACGUGCCAGCAGCCGCGGUAAAACGUAGGUCACAAGCGUUGUCCGGAAUUACUGGGUGUAAAGGGAGCGCAGGCGGGAAGACAAGUUGGAAGUGAAAUCUAUGGGCUCAACCCAUAAACUGCUUUCAAAACUGUUUUUCUUGAGUAGUGCAGAGGUAGGCGGAAUUCCCGGUGUAGCGGUGGAAUGCGUAGAUAUCGGGAGGAACACCAGUGGCGAAGGCGGCCUACUGGGCACCAACUGACGCUGAGGCUCGAAAGUGUGGGUAGCAAACAGGAUUAGAUAUCCUGGUAGUCCACACCGUAAACGAUGAUUACUAGGUGUUGGAGGAUUGACCCCUUCAGUGCCGCAGUUAACACAAUAAGUAAUCCACCUGGGGAGUACGACCGCAAGGUUGAAACUCAAAGGAAUUGACGGGGGCCCGCACAAGCAGUGGAGUAUGUGGUUUAAUUCGACGCAACGCGAAGAACCUUACCAAGUCUUGACAUCCCUUGACAGGCAUAGAAAUAUGUUUUCUCUUCGGAGCAAGGAGACAGGUGGUGCAUGGUUGUCGUCAGCUCGUGUCGUGAGAUGUUGGGUUAAGUCCCGCAACGAGCGCAACCCUUGUGGUCAGUUACUACGCAAGAGGACUCUGGCCAGACUGCCGUUGACAAAACGGAGGAAGGUGGGGAUGACGUCAAAUCAUCAUGCCCUUUAUGACUUGGGCUACACACGUACUACAAUGGCGUUAAACAAAGAGAAGCAAGACCGCGAGGUGGAGCAAAACUCAGAAACAACGUCCCAGUUCGGACUGCAGGCUGCAACUCGCCUGCACGAAGUCGGAAUUGCUAGUAAUCGUGGAUCAGCAUGCCACGGUGAAUACGAUCCCGGGCCUUGUACACACCGCCCGUCACACCAUGAGAGCCGGGGGGACCCGAAGUCGGUAGUCUAACCGCAAGGAGGACGCCGCCGAAGGUAAAACUGGUGAUUGGGGUGAAGUCGAAACAAGGUAGCCGUAGGAGAACCUGCGGCUG
rnacentral:rRNA from 1 species